CAUUAAGUGGCUGAAAGUAAGUGAUGGUCUCUUAAACCAAUUUAUAGUAAUUAACGAUUACUUUUAAUGG
rnacentral:tRNA from 2 species